GGCAAUGGCUCACGAAUGGGACCCUGAAGAAGGAGACAGAAGGCCUGAUCCUUGCAGCCCAGGAGCAAGCCAUCAGGACAAAGGAAAUUAAGGCCAAGAUCAAAAAAUCAGCUGAUGACCCAAAAUGCAGACUGUGCAAGGAAACCGAUGAAACCAUGGAUCAUAUCCUCAGCUGCUGUAAGAAAAUCACACAGACAGACUACAAACAGAGGCACAACUAUGUGGCCCAAAUGAUUCAUUGGAACUUAUGCCUCAAGUACCACCUCCCAGCAGUAAAGAACUGGUGGGAUCACAAACCUGCAAAAGUAUUGGAAAAUGAGCACGCAAAGAUACUGUGGGACUUCCGAAUACAGACUGAUAAAGUUCUGGAACACAACACACCAGAAAACACAGUUGUGGAAAAGAAAAAGGUUUGGAUCAUUGAUGUUGCCAUCCCAGGUGACAGUCGCAUUGAUGAAAAACAACAGGAAAAAAACUCAGCCGCUAUCAGGACCUCAAGCCUGAACUUCAAAGACUCUGGCAGAAACCAGUGCAGGUGGUCCCGGUGGUGAUGGGAACACUGGGUGCUGUGCCAAAAGAUCUCAGCCGGCAUUUGGAAACAAUAGACAUUGACAAAAUUACGAUCUGCUAACUGCAGAAGGCCACCCUUCUGGGAUCUGCGCGCAUCAUCUGAAAAUACAUCACACAGUCCUAGACACUCGGGAAGUGUUCGACUUGUGAUUUUUUGAUACGAAAUCCAGCAUAUCUAUCUUGUUUGCUGUGACAAUAAUAAUAAUAAUAAUAAUAAUAAUAAUAAUAAUAAUAAUAAUAAUAAAUUCCAUGGGUUGAUUCUUGGUGGUGGAUCUGUAAGUGGCUGUGGAGACCUGUUCUAGAUCCACAUGGUCUGUCACAAUGAGUAUAUAGAUUUCUAGAUGGAGGGCGGUCCUGACAAGGGUUGGCUUGACACACCUUCUUCUCGGCACUUCUCAUCCUUUUGUCCUCUAUUUGUGCCUCUUCAAAAUCCAAAUCACUUUUGUUAACAGCUGACCUCCAGUUAGAAUGCGCAAGGGCCAGGGCUUCCCAUUUCUCAGUAUUUAUAACACAUUUUUAAGGUUAGCUUUAAGCCCAUCUUUAAAUCUCUUUUGGUGUCCAUUGACAUUCUGUUUUCCAUUUAUGAGUAAAGAGCAAAGUAACUGCUUUAGGAGAUGGUGAUCAGGCAUUCUGAAAACAUGGUCAGUCCAGUGAAGUUGAUGGCAGAGGAUCAUCGCUUCAGUGCUGGUGAUCUUUGUUUCUUCCAGAAAGCUGAUGUUUGCCCGCCUGUCUUCUCAAGAGAUUUGUAGGAUUUUCCAGAGACAACACUGAUGGAAUCUUUCCAGAACUCGAGAGUAAUGUUUGUAGAUGGCCCAUGUUUUGCAGGUGUACAAUAGAGUUGGAAGGACAAUAGUUCUAUAAACAAGCAUAUUGGUAUCUUUAUUAAUGUUUCAAUCUUUAAAAACUCUCUGCUUCAUUUGAAAAACUGCUCCAGUCACAGAGCUCAGACGGUGUUGUAUACUCCAUAUGAAACUUAUGAAUUACACCAGUCACAUAAAUCAAGGAUUAGUAUAGUAAGGUCCAAAGAUUGCAUGCAGACUCUAGGUCUCACUUUAUGGUAUGUGAGGCCUCCCAUCAUUUCCUCAACCCUCUCCCUCAAUUUUUUAUUUAAAAACCAGAACAAUUUUAUAGUCAGUUAUGUCCCCAAACAAUGCAGAAUCCUACAAAAACUACUUGAUAUUGCACCCAGAAAUUAAUACACCAGUUUCCCUCUGUUUUUUAUUCAUUCAUUCGCUUCCGACUCUUCAUGACCUCAUGGACCAGCCCACGCCAGAGAUCCCUGUUGGAUGUCACCACCCCCAGCUCCUUCAAGACUAAGCCAAUCACUUCAAGGAUACCAUCAUCCAUCUUGCCCUUGAUCGGCCUCUCUUCCUUUUUCCUUUCAUUUCUCCCAGCAUCAUUCUCUUCUCCAAGCUUUCCUGUCUUCUCAUGAUGUGGCCAAAGUACUUCAGCUUUGCCUCUAAUAUACUUCCCUCCAAUGAGCAGCCGGGCAUUAUUUCCUGGAGUAUGGACUGGUUGGAUCUUCUUGUGGUCCAAGGCACUCUCAGGAUUUUCCUCCAACAUCACAGUUCAAAAGCGUCUACCUUCCUUCGCUCAGCCUUCCUUAAUGGUCCAGCUCUCGUAUCCAUAGUUUACUAUGGGGAAUACCAUUGCUUUAACUAUGUGAAUCUUCAUUGCCAGUGUGAUGUCUCUACUCUUCAAUAUUUUAUCAAGAUUGGUCAUUGCUCUCCUCCCAAGAAGUAAACGUCUUCUGAUUUCCUGGCUGCAGUCUGCAUCAGCAGUAAUCUUUGCACCUAGAAAUACAAAGUCUGUCACUGCCUCCAUGUUUUCUCCCUCUUUUUGCCAGUUAUCAGUCAGUCUGGUUGCCAUCAUCUUGGCACUUUUGCACUUUCUUCUUUUACUUGCACUUUUCUAUUUUCUUCUUUCACCUUGGUGAUAAGGCUCCUCGGCUCCUCCUCACUUUCAGCCAUUAAAAUGGUAUCAUCUGCAUAUCUAAGGUUCCUUAUGUUUCUUCCAGCAAUUUUAACUCCAGCCUUGGAUUCAUCAAGUCUCGCAUGUCGUAUGAUGUGUUCUGCAUACAAGUUGAAUAGGUAGGGUGAGAGUAAGACAGACAAAGUGAUUUGGUAUCCCCAUACCACCAAGCACUUGCCACAAUUUAUUAUGAUCCACAGAGUCAAAGGCUUUAGAAUAGUCAAUAAAACAGAAAUAGAUAUUUUUCUGAAACUCCUUACCUUCCUCCAUUAUCCAGCAGAUAUUGGCAAUUUGGUCUCUCAUUCCUCUGCCUUUUCUAAACCCAGCUUAUGCAUCUGGAAACUCUUGCUUCAUGUAUUGCUGGAGUCUACCUUGCAGGAUCUUGAGCUUUACCUUACUGGCAUGUGAAAUAAGUGCCACUGUAUGAAAGUUUGAGCAUUCUUUAGUGUUUCUGGUUUUUUGGUUCCCUCUGUAGUCAGGACGUGACACAAUGUCACAUUCUUGAAUGUUUGUUUUUAUUUAUAGGAAUUGUCAAGUCUAUUAUGGUGCUUUUACAGCAUUGAAUAUUUGCCUUUUAUUUUGUGAACAACCCUGAGUCCCCAUGGGGAGAUAGGGCAGGAUAGAAAUAAAGUUUUACUUAUUAUUUUUAGAGGGAACUACUGAGGAAACAGAACUAUCUGAGCUUGCUGGUGGGGUGGGAAUGCAGUCCAUUCCUGGUAGGAAAACUGGCCCUGAACCCCAUGUAAUUGUCCAUAAAUAAUGCCAUCCUAUAGAUGAAGCUAGGAUGGUGUUAUCAUGCAUUCUUAAGCAUCUAAUAUACAAGCAGAGAUGAAAAUAAGAUGGCAGCAUACAAUUUGAAGUGUCACCAUGUAAAUUCUCUAGCAGUAUUAUUUUAGCAAGGAUUAGAGUUGAUUGAGACAGCAAUAGGAUUUGCAUGUUCAUAACAUUUUUAAUGCCGAUUGAGCAAUUGGAAGUACACAAUGCCACAUUUAAAAGUAUUCAGAAACUAAAGUGUAAAUGGCAUAAGCAGGGAUUAUAAAAAUGAAAUAUGCUAUAAAGCUACAGAAUGGGUGCAAAUUAACAGCUUCAAAACAAUGAGGAAAGCACAUAAUACUGCCUAAAUAAAUGGGACUAGAGAACAGAUUUCAUGGAAUAUAUCCAAAUGAGAUAAGAGAAGAAAUAUUGCAAUAUAUAGACAAAUCUGGUGCACAGAAAAAAUUAUAGUAAAAUGUUAUGUUUUAAGAAAAACACACCCAGAUCCUGCUUAUUUAAGGUAAAGGUAAAGUUAAAGGUAAAGGUUUUCCCCUGACAUCAAGUCCAGUCGUGUCUGACUCUGGGGUAUGAUGCUCAUCUCCAUUUCUAAGCCAAAGAGCCGGCGUUGUCCGUAGAUGCUUCCAAGGUCAUGUAGCUGGCAUGACUGAAUGCAGGACUGUUACCUUCCCGCCAGAACAGUACCUAUUAACCUACUCACAGUUGCAUGUUUUUGAACUGCUAGGUUGAUAGAAGCUAGGGCUAACAGCAGGAGCUCACCCCGCUCCCUGGAUUUGAACCGCCGACCUUCGGAUACCAAGUUCAACAGCUCAGCAGUUUAAUCCACUGCACCACUGAGGGCUGCUUAUUCAAAUUUCCUUUUUAUUUCAGGGGAUUGCUAUAUGUGAGCACAAUCUAUGAUCUCUGUUACCUCAUUGGUUACGACGAUUGAUAAAGGAGACUAUAACAUCUUUGCCAAGGUCCUGUUCACAAUAAAUGGCUAGAAUGAUGGAGAUUGUGACAACAUUCCUGUGACCAUUCCAAGUGCUGUCCUGGGCUUGAGCAUCUUGCAUCAGGGAAUACUGAUACCACUUUACACAAUUAUGUCAAAUGCACAGCCCAAAUGUCCCAAUAGGAUUAUUUCCUAAAUCUAUAGCUUUACGUGAUAGGAUUGGCUUCAGAUUUAUUGUUUGGCCACCUGAUGAGUUUCAAGACUAUAGUGGGAUUUAAAGCAACAUUUUCCUAGUGUAGGUUCAAUCCUCUAACCAUUAGUAGAACCUCUGUGAGUCUGAGAGAAGGUAUUAUAUUAUUUUUAACCUGUUUUGAAGCACUAAAAAGUAGAAAUGACACAAAGCCUACUAUUAUAGCAGUAGUUGUAUUUUGGUGAGCGAAAUGUUCAUCCUUCUUUACAAAAUCCAGAAUGAUUUUUUAAAGCAACAGUUACAACAUUUCUUGCCCACCCAUCACUAUAAAACCAGCACUUUCCUAAUGAAGUGAGUGAUACAAAAGUUCAUUUUUGAUGUGAUAGAAAAUUAGAGGCAGGAAAUGUAAAACAUUGGUCCUUGCUGUCCCUCCAAUUUUUCUAAAUGUCUGGCUUUAAAUCUGAAUUGGCAUUUGUUGGAGAAAACCAAGCCUCCUAGAUAUAAAGUGAAAAUAUUUCCAAUUAGACUCAAAUAGAAUGAAGAAAAAUGAAAUUUUUGAGGUAGGAGGAAGAAAGGAUACUUUACUUUCUCUGGUUCUAGUAAUUAUGAGUCUUUUAUUUUAUUCUAGUAUUCCAAUAUUACAUUUUAAGUGCAGAAGUUUUGCAAUAACAUUCCACCAUCACAGUGCCUUUUUUGGGGGGAGGGGCUGUCUGAAAUAAGGAACCUGGUUCAAGAGUGGACUGUUGUAUACCUUACUGGGAAGACCUUCAGUAGACUGCUGACAAUUGUUUGGAACAGGUGAUGAGGCACAUAGGUUGGACUGGAAUUCAGUUCUGCUGUUCAUUUCACAUCUCAUGCAGAGUUUAAACUUCAACAAAUCAAAUCAAUUAACCCAGCAUAAUUGCUUAACAAGAUAAGCUGUCUUUUGCAUUAGAGCUAUGUCAGGAUCUAACAAGCCACAGAUUACCUACACAUAUCCAAAUGUCACACAUGACACAUCUAACACAUUGUGUCUGUUCUCUUAGGAUUUCAUAUUACUGGGGAAGGAAUAGAAUACCAUUGAUUUCAUCAAGUGUUUCCAUUAAGUGUCCCAAUAAAGGAGAGAAUACUUCUGGAACAUGGUCACACAGUCCGAAAGACAUACAACAACCUUGUGAUCCCGGCCAUGAAAGCCUUCGACAACACAUUGUCCCAAUAAAAAGAGGAAUAUGUGAGGUGUCCUUCUAUCAGUUCUCCCUAAACAUACAGAUGGGUUCCAUCAUUAAAUAACUUGGCAUGAAUAGAAGAAGUGAGAAGCACAAAGAGAAAAAAGCUCUGUUGGCUGACUGCUUGGUGUUCAGCUUCUGCCUGUCCAAUUUGAUUAUUGUGCUUGAAAGAUCCAGGAUUAUCUCUCACAUUUCUUAAGAAGUGUGUUUUGAAAGACAUUAGGCCAAUCAAAAUUUUAUUUCUCUGCACCUCUGAGAUUCUCUCUCUUACCUCUUUAUUACGAGGCAUCCUAACUACUUCACAUCAUUUAUUAACUUUUCAAUGGAGAACUGUGGAAAUUCUGCUAUUUUGUACUAGAAAUUCUGCUAAAAUUGUUAUCGACCGCAUUUUAGGGGAUCGGGACCCUUAAGGAGAGACCCGAUCCGGUCCUGAGAGAACGGACCUUGGCGGAGCCAAAAAGGAAAAUACGAGCCGCAAUACAACCUGAAGCCGAAAUGAAGAAGGUCCGCCAAAGUUGAAGGAAAAUUCGCCAAGGAGUCUUUAUUGAGCAAUUCAGCUGAAGAGGACUCUAGUAGCGAUCAUCCGACCUACUAGGGUACCAUACAAUCAAAAUAAAGCCAUAUUUAUACAAAA